rnacentral:tRNA from 1 species
GGGGUCGUGGGGUAGCCUGGUCUAUCCUGCUGGCUUUGGGGCGUUAGACCAGCGCAAAAAAGCCAGUGACUCGAGUUCAAAUCUCGGCGACCCCACCA